rnacentral:rRNA from 1 species
UACAGAGGGGGCAAGCGUUAUUCGGAAUUACUGGGCGUAAAGCGUGCGCAGGCGGUUUUGCAAGCCGGAUGUGAAAUCCCCGGGCUUAACCUGGGAAUGGCAUUUGGGACUGCAAGGCUGGAGUGCGGCAGAGGAGACUGGAAUUCCUGGUGUAGCAGUGAAAUGCGUAGAUAUCAGGAGGAACACCGAUGGCGAAGGCAGGUCUCUGGGCUGACACUGACGCUCAUGCACGAAAGCGUGGGGAGCAAACAGG